CUGCUGAGCCAUCUCUCCAGCCCACAAUGCUCUUUCCUUAUCCCACCGCUCAGGCCAGACUUGACCUUGCUUCCUAACUUCAUCAGUAGAGUGGGGGUUGCUGUUCGUCUCCUGGAAGCUGAGGUCAGAUGUGAUACGUGCGUGUUAGGCAGAGUCUGGGGUCAGCUAUCACCUCAGCUCUCUGACUGUUGCCUGCACAGGGCUUCCGUGUGGUCCUGGCUGAAGACUGUUGGAUGAAGUCACUGGUCCCCCUGAUGGCAGAGAUCAGGCAGCAGAUGGGGGGUGUGCCUCUUUACAUCAGCUUUGCCAUAGAUGCCUUGGAUCCUGCCUAUGCCCCAGGGACAGGGACACCAGAAAUUGCUGGGCUCACCCCUAGUCAGGCUGUUUCCUGAAGAUUGCUUGUCUCGAGGAUCAUGGCACAUGGCAUUGCAUGGCUUGCUCGACUCCACUGUCGCACCUCGGAGCCCCUAGUAGAGGGGCUGUGUGCUGUGAAUUGUGUACCUGGGUCACCUUGCGUGGCUGUAGCCAGUACACGCCUAGGUCAAGCGUGGGUUAUCUGUGCCUUCACUGGUUGCUUCUCAUUGGAAAUGACUGUCAUGCUCACCUUGGGCAGGCUCUGGAGAUCAUCCGGGGCUGUCAAGGCCUGAAUGUGGUGGGCUGUGACCUUGUGGAAGUUUCCCCGCCGUAUGAUCUCUCUGGAAACACAGCCCUCCUCGCGGCUAACCUACUGUUUGAGAUGCUGUGUGCUCUCCCCAAGGUGACAACUGUCUGAGUCAGUGUUCCUGAAGUUGAAACAGACUGGGUCAUGAUGAAGCCUCAAGGCCCUGUGAACGAACUGUGGCUAGGAUCAAAGAACCCCUCCUGUGAGGUGUCACCACAAACAAGGGCAAUUCAGAGCAUUACCCCGAACAGCUCGAACAGCUCGUGUCUCUUUCCUUCCUAACAUUAAAACAUUUAUUUAAUUUUU
rnacentral:lncRNA from 1 species